GAAGCAGGCCGGGUGAUCGCCGGCGUCAUUCAUUUGAUGCUGGAGGAAAGUCCGAACACUACAGGACAGCAGGCUGGCUAACGGCCAGGCGGGGUGACCCGACGGAAUAGUGCAACAGAGAACAGACAGCCAACCGCGUUUAUACGCGAUGGCGAUGGUGAAACGGUGAGGUAAAGGCAUCACCAGCGAGUGUGGCGACAUGCUCGGCUAGGCAAACCCCCUGCGGUGCAAGACCAAAUAGGGAAACGUUGAUCAAGGUUGUCCGCCUGAGUCCUUGCACUUCGCCGGUUUUCAGAAAGAAAGAUAGUCACAAUUAUUUUUUUCUGAGAUCGGGCGAAGUGCGAGGCGCGUUUUCGGGUAGGUCGCAUGACCGGCGCAGUAAUGCGCCGCCCAGAUGAAUGAUCGCCACUCAGUUCGCUGAGUACAGAAUUCGGCUUACAGGCCGGCUCCUCAA
rnacentral:RNase_P_RNA from 1 species